GUUAGGACUUACUGUAUUUGAUUUGUAUACAAAGGCUAUGGGAUUAUAUUUACUCCCUCACAACAGUCCUAUGAGGUAAGUAUAGGACCCCUAUUUCUCAUAGGAGGCUCUGUAGCUUAGACAAGUGAAGCAACAAGCUAAGGUCACAUAUGCUGAGAGAUGAACCAAAGUCUGACCAACUCGGGAUCCUGCCAUGCUAAGUGCUCUUUGUCCUCUACUAACUGCUGACAGUUAAGCUACAUAUUAAAGAAUGAAGAGUUCACGAGCACAUACAGGCGUGUGUGAGUAUGUGUAAACAACAAACACUGAACCUGAUCCCGUGCGACUCAAAGUCCAGUCCUCUGACCAGUAGCACCAGCAACAGCUGGGAGCUUGUCGGAAAUACAGACCCUCAGGUCCCGCCCCGAACUGACUGAAUCAGACUCUGCUGUUUAACAAAAUCCCCGAGUGAUUCAUAGAGAUACUAAAGUUUGAGAAGCCCUGCUCUAAAUAAUCUCGUUUGAAUUUUGGCAGAGGCUCCAAAGCUGAUAAGGAAGGGUGUUAAUUAUCUGCACAGUCUAAAAGGAGAUGCCAGAGCAGCUAGGAAAACCUUGCUGAGGGCUUUCAACACAACCCUGGAGCAUUCAGACACAACACAGAGAUAAGAGGAAUUGAGAAAUUUGUGAAAAUGGAAAAGAAACUGAUCAUCUGAUCAUGUGUCCAAUCUCUACUACAGGUUUUGAGCUUGAAUUAGGCUCAUAUUGUCAAAAAGAGAGAAGCUUCACUUGCAUGAGAAAUUGAAGUUUUUAUGUUAGAUUUAUCUUCAUCCUUUUUAUGUUGCUAUAACAGAAUACCUGAGACUUGGGAGUUUACAAGAAAAGAGAUUUCUUUAGCUCGUGAUUCUGACAACUGGAAAAUUCAAGAUCAGGCAGCUGCAUCUGGUGAGGGCCCCAUGCUGCUUAAACUCAUGGCAGAAAGUGGAAGGGGAGCUGGCAUGUGCAAAGAGAUGACAUGGUGGGAGGAAGGAAAAGAUUGGAACUGAGGAAGCCAGACUCUUUUUAACAACCUGCUGUCAGGAAAUAAUCCAUUCCUGCAAGAGGAAGAACUCACUUGCCCCCACAGGAGGCCAUUAAUCUACUCAUAAGAGAUCUGCCCAAUAACCCAAAUACCUCCCACUAGGCCCCACCUCCCAACACUUCCACAUUGGAGAUCAAAUUUCAGCAUGAUCUUUGGCAGAGACAAACCAAAUCAUAGCAAGACUGGACUCGGGUUUUUAAAAACUUAUAGAAAUUUUCGAACAUACGAAAAUAGAAUAGUAUAAUGAACUUCCAUGUCCUUAUCACCCAGCACACUACCCUGAUAUUCUACAUAUUAAAAAUUUGGAGCACAAGUAUACUUGACUAUUUUAAUACCUAAAUGUGAUGACUUCAUUUUGAUGUUUAAUCACUGGCAGCUUUCAGGCCCCACGCUUCUUCCUUCCCCUUUUACCUCACCCGGAAGCCAAUAAGAAAGCCUAGGAUUCUCCCUCAUGUGAUUGUACAAAUUCCAUAGGUUUUCUGGUCUCUUUUAGAUGACAUAAACAGUCUUAUUUUUAGUGUUCUGUGGGUGCCCUGUUAGGGAAGGAUCAAUUCCCCACUCAAUAUCAUUUUGGGUAUCAGGACUGAUGGUGUUAUACAUGCACCCAGAGGGUAUGAAUAUUACUCAUAUAAUGAAACUCUAGGGAGAAUAUGGCAGGUAUUCAAGCUCUUCUGGAAUGGCUUGAGUCAAGAGAAGAGCAAGUACUUUGGAUUUUUAUUAUAGUUAGGGGAUGGAGCCUGGGUGAGUUUCACAUAGCUCAGGGAUUACCUCCUCUACCCACAGGCAUCACCUCAGGGUAUCCAUGCUUCUUGUGCCUACACCUUCUCCUGGCUGGCUGAGUGUUCUGGAAGUCUAAGCGCAGAGAGAUAAAAGUUUCUGCAGAGAGCAGUUUCUUCCAGCAGAACAGUGCUGUGCCAGAACACUGAGGCCAGCAGUGGCAUGGCACUUUUCCCAGGAUCAGCUCUCACUGGGAACACUGAAUAUAUAUUAUAAAUUAUACCUUUUCAUAGAUGAAUUUCUAGGAAAAUUUUAUUCCCUAUUUUCAUGAGUUGUUCCUCCCUAACGAUAGAUGUUAAAGGCUCUAAUUGUCC
rnacentral:lncRNA from 1 species